AAAUUAGGUGGAACAUGAGGGCCGAAAAUAAGAGAAAAAAAGAAAUUAAUCCACUCUAAAUCUAUUCUGAUUUGCUAAGUAAACGAAAGGAGGUCAGAAAUCUCUUUCUUUCUUUGAACUAUUCUGAUCCGUCAAAAAUUCAUAAAAAGAAUUCAUGCCCGUCUAGGUUCAUGCUGAAUCGAGCAGUAAGUAGGGGCGAAAAAUAGAAUACAAACUGUAACGGCCCGAAUUAUCAGGCGAUAUGAGAUUCUAGAUGUGGAUCCUACGGGUUCAAGAGGUGGCUCCCACCAAAUCCGUUGGUAUAGUAUUUUGCGCCAUAUACCAUUUAGCUCCCACACCUUCAGCUGGUAUUCGUCUCUGUUACCAACUAUAACGAUCCAAUCUGUUAGCAACAAUAAUCCGUUGGGUCCGAACUACCGGUCCAAAAUAUUUAAGUCCAGCUAUUAUUAUUAGCGUGUAAGUCUCAUAUAUUCUAAUCAGAAUCAGUUUUUCACCUAAUGUGGGAUUAUUGGGACGUUACAACAACUCACACCGUCUGAACGUGUCCCGAUGGGAUAAGAAAUGGGGGCGGGAGUUGUUCCCCGGAACAACU
rnacentral:lncRNA from 1 species